rnacentral:lncRNA from 1 species
CGAUAUUUCAAAACCAAAAGCAAAAUACGCUUUGAAAAGUUUUGAAAUCAAAAUAACGCGAAGUAAAGGGGAAAGGGUCAAAACCAAAAGCCAAUGAAUGCUUUGAAAAGUUUUGAUACGCGGGAAACGCGGGACAAAAGGACAAAUUUCAUAGACCAAAGCAAAAUAUGCCCUACAAAGUCUAGAAAUUUAGGAUCACGGC